UAAAGUGUAGCUCAGGGGAAGAGCAUUUGCCUAGCAUGUGUGAGGUCCUGGGUUCAAUCUCCAGCACAUCAA
rnacentral:tRNA from 1 species